UACGUAGGGGGCAAGCGUUGUCCGGAAUUAUUGGGCGUAAAGAGCGCGUAGGCGGUCCGAUAAGUCGGCUGUGAAAGUCAAGGGCUCAACCCUUGAAUGCCGGUGGAUACUGCAGGGCUAGAGUCCGGAAGAGGCGAGUGGAAUUCCUGGUGUAGCGGUGAAAUGCGCAGAUAUCAGGAAGAACACCCGUGGCGAAGGCGGCUCUCUGGGACGGUACUGACGCUGAGACGCGAAAGCGUGGGGAGCGAACAGG
rnacentral:rRNA from 1 species